GGGCCUUGUAACUCCGCCCAGCGGCAGACGGGUGAGUAACGCGUGGGAACAUACCUCUUGGUUCGGAACAACACAGGGAAACUUGUGCUAAUACCGGAUAAGCCCUUACGGGGAAAGAUUUAUCGCCGAGAGAUUGGCCCGCGUCUGAUUAGCUAGUUGGUAGGGUAAUGGCCUACCAAGGCGACGAUCAGUAGCUGGUCUGAGAGGAUGAUCAGCCACAUUGGGACUGAGACACGGCCCAAACUCCUACGGGAGGCAGCAGUGGGGAAUAUUGGACAAUGGGGGCAACCCUGAUCCAGCCAUGCCGCGUGAGUGAUGAAGGCCCUAGGGUUGUAAAGCUCUUUUGUGCGGGAAGAUAAUGACGGUACCGCAAGAAUAAGCCCCGGCUAACUUCGUGCCAGCAGCCGCGGUAAUACGAAGGGGGCUAGCGUUGCUCGGAAUCACUGGGCGUAAAGGGUGCGUAGGCGGGUUUUUAAGUCAGAGGUGAAAUCCUGGAGCUCAACUCCAGAACUGCCUUUGAUACUGAAGAUCUUGAGUCCGGAAGAGGUGAGUGGAACUGCGAGUGUAGAGGUGAAAUUCGUAGAUAUUCGCAAGAACACCAGUGGCGAAGGCGGCUCACUGGUCCGGUACUGACGCUGAGGCACGAAAGCGUGGGGAGCAAACAGGAUUAGAUACCCUGGUAGUCCAUGCCGUAAACGAUGAAUGCCANCCCGUUAGUGG
rnacentral:rRNA from 1 species